AUUGCCCUAGUAACGGCGAGUGAAGCGGCAACAGCUCAAAUUUGAAAUCUGGCGUCUUCGGCGUCCGAGUUGUAAUUUGCAGAGGGCGCUUUGGCAUUGGCAGCGGUCCAAGUUCCUUGGAACAGGACGUCACAGAGGGUGAGAAUCCCGUACGUGGUCGCUAGCCUUUACCGUGUAAAGCCCCUUCGACGAGUCGAGUUGUUUGGGAAUGCAGCUCUAAAUGGGAGGUAAAUUUCUUCUAAAGCUAAAUACUGGCCAGAGACCGAUAGCGCACAAGUAGAGUGAUCGAAAGAUGAAAAGCACUUUGGAAAGAGAGUUAAAAAGCACGUGAAAUUGUUGAAAGGGAAGCGCUUGCAGCCAGACUUGCCUGUAGUUGCUCAUCCGGGUUUUUACCCGGUGCACUCUUCUAUAGGCAGGCCAGCAUCAGUUUGGGCGGUUGGAUAAAGGUCUCUGUCAUGUACCUCUCUUCGGGGAGAACUUAUAGGGGAGACGACAUGCAACCAGCCUGGACUGAGGUCCGCGCAUCUGCUAGGAUGCUGGCGUAAUGGCUGUAAGCGGCCCGUCUUGAAACACGGACCAAGGAGUCUAACAUCUAUGCGAGUGUUUGGGUGUCAAGCCCGAGCGCGUAAUGAAAGUGAACGGAGGUGGGAACCUUUCGGGGUGCACCAUCGACCGAUCCUGAUGUCUUCGGAUGGAUUUGAGUAAGAGCAUAGCUGUUGGGACCCGAAAGAUGGUGAACUAUGCUUGAAUAGGGUGAAGCCAGAGGAAACUCUGGUGGAGGCUCGCAGCGGUUCUGACGUGCAAAUCGAUCGUCAAAUUUGGGCAUAGGGGCGAAAGACUAAUCGAACUAUCUAGUAGCUGGUUCCUGCCGA
rnacentral:rRNA from 1 species